AAUCGUCAGUAAUUUGUGUAAGUGCCGUGCUUGUUGUUGCCAAAGGUCCUUCAACACAGUACUGAGUAAAGGGUCUGAAUACUUACGUAAAUGUGAUAUAUUUCAGUUUUUUUUAUUUUUUGCAAAAAUUUAUAAAACCUGUUUUUGCUUCGUCAUUAUGGGGUAUUGUGUGUAGAAAAAAAAACGAUUUAAUUAAUUUUAGAAUAAGGCUGUAACGUCACAAAAUGCCUCACGUACCAGGGCAAAGCAGCUAGCAAGGUACUGCUCUGUUUCAGCUGUUAUGGUCAGUCUAGCUGUAUGGAGGAGGAGGUACUGCUCUGUUUCAGCUGUUAUGGUCAGUCUAGCUGUAUGG
rnacentral:lncRNA from 1 species